rnacentral:rRNA from 1 species
GUAGGUGGCAAGCGUUGUCCGGAAUUAUUGGGCGUAAAGCGCGCGCAGGCGGUCCUUUAAGUCUGAUGUGAAAGCCCACGGCUCAACCGUGGAGGGUCAUUGGAAACUGGGGGACUUGAGUACAGAAGAGGAAAGCGGAAUUCCAAGUGUAGCGGUGAAAUGCGUAGAGAUUUGGAGGAACACCAGUGGCGAAGGCGGCUUUCUGGUCUGUAACUGACGCUGAGGCGCGAAAGCGUGGGGAGCAAACAGGAUUAGAUACCCUGGUAGUCCACGCCGUAAACGAUGAGUGCUAAGUGUUAGGGGGUUUCCCGCCCCCCUUAGUGCUGCAGCUAACGCAUUAAGCACUCCGCCUGGGGGAGUACGGCCGCAAGGCUG